GACGGUACUAUAUGAAUAAGGAUCGGCUAACUCCGUGCCAGCAGCCGCGGUAAUACGGAGGAUCCAAGCGUUAUCCGGAAUCAUUGGGUUUAAAGGGUCCGCAGGCGGCCUGUUAAGUCAGAGGUGAAAUCCUACAGCUCAACUGUAGAACUGCCUUUGAUACUGAUAGGCUUGAGUUAUUGUGAAGUGGUUAGAAUGUGUGGUGUAGCGGUGAAAUGCUUAGAUAUCACACAGAACACCCAUUGCGAAGGCAGAUCACUAACAAUAUACUGACGCUCAUGGACGAAAGCGUGGGGAGCGAACAGGAUUAGAUACCCUGGUAGUCCACGCCGUAAACGAUGGAUACUCGCUGUUCGACCUUCACGUUGAGUGGCCAAGCGAAAGUGAUAAGUGUCCCACCUGGGGAGUACGCUCGCAAGAGUGAAACU
rnacentral:rRNA from 1 species